AACGAACGCUGGCGGCAGGCUUAACACAUGCAAGUCGAGCGAGACCUUCGGGUCUAGCGGCGGACGGGUGAGUAACGCGUGGGAACGUGCCCUUCUCUACGGAAUAGCCCCGGGAAACUGGGAGUAAUACCGUAUACGCCCUUUGGGGGAAAGAUUUAUCGGAGAAGGAUCGGCCCGCGUUGGAUUAGGUAGUUGGUGGGGUAAUGGCCCACCAAGCCGACGAUCCAUAGCUGGUUUGAGAGGAUGAUCAGCCACACUGGGACUGAGACACGGCCCAGACUCCUACGGGAGGCAGCAGUGGGGUAUCUUAGACAAUGGGGGCAACCCUGAUCUAGCCAUGCCGCGUGAGUGAUGAAGGCCUUAGGGUUGUAAAGCUCUUUCAGCUGGGAAGAUAAUGACGGUACCAGCAGAAGAAGCCCCGGCUAACUCCGUG
rnacentral:rRNA from 1 species